rnacentral:misc_RNA from 1 species
GAAAUGCGAUAAGUAAUGUGAAUUGCAGAAUUCAGUGAAUCAUCGAAUCUUUGAACGCACCUUGCGCUCCUUGGUAUUCCGAGGAGCAUGCCUGUUUGAGUGUCAUGAAACUCUCAACCUUCAACCUUUUUAUUAAGGCUGAAGGCUUGGACUUGGGCGCUGCUGGUUUUUACUAACCGGCUCGCCUGAAAUGAAUUAGCAGAUCCUUUUUGUAAUCGGUUCCACUCGACGUGAUAAGUAUUUCGCCGAGGACAUACGCAAGUAUGGCCGAGAUAAAGGAAGUCUUUAGAUCCGCUUCUAAUUCUUAGAUAGAGCUUGCUCUACUAAACCCCAUUUUAUGAUCUGGCCUCAAAUCAGGUAGGACUACCCGCUGAACUUAA